UUACAGUAUGACUACUGUUCUCAUGCAGGCACUUUGUGUACAUGGCUGUCGAGAUGUCUUUACUGUAAAGUUGUUUGCUGAAAAAUAAUAUGUGUAUUUCACUUGUGGAUUUGAAUUUUUGUGUUUGUUUGUUUGAGCCGUCAAGCCUGGAGUGGAUGCUCAGUUGCAGCCUUACUUGAAGAACAUCCCCAGGAUAUCUCAUUGCCAUAGUACUAUAGAUUUCCUUCUGUCUGUCUGAUGCUGGGAUCCUAGUACUGCGACUUCUGUCAUCUUUUUCAUUCUGGCUUAAAAAGUGGAAUAACUCAAGUCACCUCUGCUGGAAAUCGGUUUGCUGAAACUAUUGAAACAGCAAUUCUUGAAGUUGAAGAAAAGGAGGUUCUGUGCCUUGACCGGAGGAGUGUGGCCCUCUCUUCAAAACCCUCUCUGGACACGCCCUCCUAGCAUCCCCUGGGAAAGAUGCGGCAGCUCAAAGGGAAGCCCAAGAAGGAGACGUCCAAGGACAAGAAGGAGCGGAAGCAGGCCAUGCAGGAGGCCCGGCAGCAGAUCACCACGGUGGUGCUGCCCACGCUGGCCGUGGUCGUGCUCCUGAUUGUGGUGUUCGUGUACGUGGCCACGCGCCCCACCGUUACCGAGUGAGCCGCAGGCGGGGGAGAGCCGCGGAAACAUGGCUGGCGUCCUCAGAGAUUUUCCUGAUGCUGAGCUCUGAGCAGGAGCACCUGUCUUCUCUGCUCUUUGACUUGAUUAAAGUUUUUCCACUUUUCUUGGGAGGGAAUAGGGAGCGUUUUAUCAGUGAAUGUGCCAUACACCUUAUGGUCCACUUCAUGUGCCUUUCAGACUUCAAAGCGGUGUGUGUGUGUGUGUGUGUGUGUGUGUGUGUGUGUGUGUGUGUGUGUUUCUCUCUCCUAAAACCCAUGUGCAGCUCCCCCUGGUGAGAGGAGGGGCGCCGGGAUCAUGAAUGAGUUGGAAUCAGUGCUCACCCCACCCCCAUUGUUUCAAACAUGACUCUUUUCCGACCUGUGUCCACAAUUUCCAAAGGGACUGUAUUUCUUCUCUGUGCUUAAUGUGAUUUUAAAGAUGUCGACUCAAAAGUGAAAUAUUUAUUUUUCGAAUAAAGGAGAUGAUAGCCUUUAA